ensembl:lncRNA
CAUGGCAGGUAACUACUAUUCAUUCACUAAGUACCAUAGGAGAUUAUACUAUUCAUUCACUAUACAACAUGGCAGGUAACUACUAUUCAUUCACUGUACAACAUGGCACGUAACUACUAUUCAUUCACUAUACAACAUGGCAGGUCAUUACUAUUCAUUCACUGUACAACAUGGCAGGUAACUGCUAUUCAUUCACUAAGUACCAUAGGAGAUUAUACUAUUCAUUCACUAUACAACAUGGCAGGUCAUUACUAUUCAUUCACUGUACAACAUGGCAGGUAACUGCUAUUCAUUCACUAUACAACAUGGCAGGUAGCUACAAUUCAUUCACUAAGUUCCAUAGGAGAUUAUACUAUUCAUUCACUAUACAACAUUUUUAUUUUUUUAUUUUUUUAUUUUUUAUUUCACCUUUAUUUAACCAGGUAGGCCAGUUGAGAACAAGUUCUCAUUUGCAACUGCGACCUGGCCAAGAUAAAGCAUAGCAGUGUGAGCAGACAACACAGAGUUACACAU